rnacentral:rRNA from 1 species
GACGAACGCUGGCGGCGUGCCUAAUACAUGCAAGUAGAACGCUGAAGGAGGAGCUUGCUUCUCUGGAUGAGUUGCGAACGGGUGAGUAACGCGUAGGUAACCUGCCUGGUAGUGGGGGAUAACUAUUGGAAACGAUAGCUAAUACCGCAUAAUAGCAGUUGUUGCAUGAUAACUGUUUGAAAGGUGCAAUUGCACCGCUACCAGAUGGACCUGCGUUGUAUUAGCUAGUUGGUGGGGUAACGGCUCACCAAGGCGACGAUACAUAGCCGACCUGAGAGGGUGAUCGGCCACACUGGGACUGAGACACGGCCCUGACUCCUACGGGAGGCAGCAGUAGGGAAUCUUCGGCAAUGGACGGAAGUCUGACCGAGCAACGCCGCGUGAGUGAAGAAGGUUUUCGGAUCGUAAAGCUCUGUUGUAAGAGAAGAACGAGUGUGAGAGUGGAAAGUUCACACUGUGACGGUAUCUUACCAGAAAGGGACGGCUAACUACGUG